CUCUCUUUCUCCUCAGAUCUCCAGGCUCAAAGCGUCAGUCCACCAGCUGAACUCUCAGUCAGACUGGUGGAUGGAACCACUUCCUGUUCUGGGACAGUGGAAGUCUUCUAUGAAGGAGAGUGGUUGGGUCUAUGUUUUAGUUGGUGGGACAUGAUGAGAGAGGUUAAGUUUGUGUGUAGAGAGCUGGACUGUGGGAAUCCUGUAUCUGAAUCUAGAGGACCUCUGAUUGAAGAUGGAAGAGGAGGAGUCACACUAUUGAGUUGUAGUGGAGAUGAGUCUACUAUUAGACAGUGUGGCAUAGGAGGACCUGGUUUCUGUGAUGGUGGAUAUUAUCAUCAUGUGACCUGUUCAGAGUCUGUGCGGCUUGUGGAUGGAGCUGGUCUCUGCUCUGGGAGAGUGGAG